UGGCAAAAGAAGCCAUUAAUGCAGCCUUUGAGCUACCGCUGGCCGACGGGAACCGCCUGGAGAAACGGCUGUUCCACGCCACCUUCGCCACGAAAGACAGAAAGGAAGGAAUGACCGCCUUUGUGGAGAAGAGGAAGGCGGUAUUCCAGGACGAAUAAUGAAAAUGAUGCAACCACCAGGGAAUGUGAAGAUCCUCAGAUGUACGCAGAUCUGGAGGGUGGCAAGCGGUGGCCCUGGCCACCAUGGUCUGAAACCUGGCCACCCCAUUGGCCACCAUGGUCUGAAACCUGGCCACCCCAUUGGCCACCCUGGACUGAAGCUUGGCCACCCCAUUGGCCACCCUGGUCUGAAACCUGGCCAUGCCAUUGGCCUCCUUGGACUGAAACUUGGCCACCCCAUUGGCCACCCUGAACUGAAGCCUGGCCACCCCAUUGGCCACCAUGGACUGACACCUGGCCACACCAUUGGCCACCAUGGACUGACACCUGGCCACACCAUUGGCCACCAUGGACUGACACCUGGCCACACCAUUGGCCACCCCCGUUGUAUUUGCAUUUUUAUUAAAUCAGACUUUAAUAAAAAUACCUCAUUGUAUUCAA